GAUGAACGCUAGCGGCAGGCCUAACACAUGCAAGUCGAGGGGUAGAGGAAGCUUGCUUCCUUGAGACCGGCGCACGGGUGCGUAACGCGUAUGCAAUCUACCUUUUACAGAGGGAUAGCCCAGAGAAAUUUGGAUUAAUACCUCAUAGUAUUUUCGAAUGGCAUCAUUUGAUUAUUAAAGUACUAACGGUAAAAGAUGAGCAUGCGUCCUAUUAGCUAGAUGGUAAGGUAACGGCUUACCAUGGCAACGAUAGGUAGGGGGCCUGAGAGGGAGAUCCCCCACACUGGUACUGGGACACGGACCAGACUCCUACGGGAGGCAGCAGUGAGGAAUAUUGGACAAUGGGCGCAAGCCUGAUCCAGCCAUGCCGCGUGCAGGAAGACGCAUCUAUGGUGUGUAAACUGCUUUUGUACGGGAAGAAACACUCCCUCGUGAGGGAGCUUGACGGUACCGUAAGAAUAAGGAUCGGCUAACUCCGUGCCAGCAGCCGCGGUAAGAC
rnacentral:rRNA from 1 species